GAUGAACGCUGGCGGCGUGCCUAAUACAUGCAAGUCGAGCGAACGGACGAGAAGCUUGCUUCUCUGAUGUUAGCGGCGGACGGGUGAGUAACACGUGGAUAACCUACCUAUAAGACUGGGAUAACUUCGGGAAACCGUAGCUAAUACCGGAUAAUAUUUUGAACCGCAUGGUUCAAAAGCGAAAGACGGUCUUGCUGUCACUUAUAGAUGGAUCCGCGCUGCAUUAGCUAGUUGGUAAGGUAACGGCUUACCAAGGCAACGAUGCAUAGCCGACCUGAGAGGGUGAUCGGCCACACUGGAACUGAGACACGGUCCAGACUCCUACGGGAGGCAGCAGUAGGGAAGCUUCCGCAAUGGGCGAAAGCCUGACGGAGCAACGCCGCGUGAGUGAUGAAGGUCUUCGGAGCGUAAAACUCUGUUAUUAGGGAAGAACAUAUGUGUAAGUAACUGUGCACAUCUUGACGGUACCUAAUCAGAAAGCCACGGCUAACUACGUG
rnacentral:rRNA from 1 species